CCUUAGUUUUGCACUGUUUAUUUUUAACAUUUGACCAUUUAUUUUAUUUGGAACUUUUUAUGAUUAAUUAUUAUUUAUUGUUAUUAAAUGAUAAAACAUACUGUGUGAUUAUUUUUAAAAUUUUUUUCAUAAACUUUUUAAAUAGACGGAUGGUCAAAUGUUGGUCAUGAAUACCCACGGCUACACUUAUU
rfam:Oryza sativa (indica cultivar-group) chromosome 4, whole genome shotgun sequence.